GAUGAACGCUGGCGGCGUGCCUAAUACAUGCAAGUCGAGCGAACGGACGAGAAGCUUGCUUCUCUGAUGUUAGCGGCGGACGGGUGUGUAACACGUGGAUAACCCACCUAUAAGACUGGGAUAACUUCGGGAAACCGUAGCUAAUACCGGAUAAUAUUUUGAACCGCAUGGUUCAAAAGUGAAAGACGGUCUUGCUGUCACUUAUAGAUGGAUCCGCGCUGCAUUAGCUAGUUGGUAAGGUAACGGCUUACCAAGGCAACGAUGCAUAGCCGACCUGAGAGGGUGAUCGGCCACCCUGGAACUGAGACACGGUCCAGACUCCUACGGGAGGCAGCAGUAGGGAAUCUGCCGCAAUGGGCGAAAGCCUGACGGAGCAACGCCGCGUGAGUGAUGAAGGUCUUCGGAUCGUAAAGCUCUGUUAUGAGGGAAGAACAUAUGUGUAAGUAACUGUGCACAUCUUGACGGUACCUAAUCAGAAAGCCACGGCUAACUACGUG
rnacentral:rRNA from 1 species